AGAUUGAACGCUAGCGGGAUGCUUUACACAUGCAAGUCGAACGGCAGCGCGGACUUCGGUCUGGCGGCGAGUGGCGAACGGGUGAGUAAUAUAUCGGGAACGUGCCCAGUAGCGGGGGAUAACUACGCGAAAGCGUGGCUAAUACCGCAUACGCCCUACAGGGGAAAGGGGGGAU
rnacentral:rRNA from 1 species